GACGAACGCUGGCGGCGUGCUUAACACAUGCAAGUCGAACGGAAAGGCCCGUUCGUGGGUACUCGAGUGGCAAACGGGGACGUAAGAGGAAGGUGAACUGCACUGACCUUUGGGAUAAGCCUGAGAAAGUGGGUCUAAUACCGGAUCGGACCACGAUCUGCAUGGAGUGUGGUGGAUAGCGUGUGCGGUCUGGGAUGGGCCCGCGGGCUAUCAGCUUGUUGGUUGGGUAAGGGCGGACCAAGGCGACGACGGGUAGCCGGCCUGAGAGGGUGACCGGCCACACGAGGACUGAGAUACGGCGCAGACUGCUACGGGAGGCAGCAGUCGGGAAUAUUGCACAAUGGGCGCAAGCCUGAUGCAGCGGCGCCGCGUGGGGGAUGACGGCCUUCGGGGUGAAAACCUCUUUCAGUAUCGACGAAGCGCAAGUGACGGUAGGUAAAGAAGAAGCCCCGGCUAACUACGUG
rnacentral:rRNA from 1 species